CUGGGAGGGCACCCAGAGGAGGAAGCAGCAGAGGCAGACGUUGGGAAGAAGUGUGUCCACUUACUUGGGCUGCAGCAAAAGCGCUUCUGGAAAAUGGGAAGAGUGAGAACGUGGGCCAACUCGCUGUGUGAUGUCAGCUGACACCAAUACAAGACUGCAUCGUUAUCACUCAGAAGUCAGUCAGAACGUAACUGUAAAAAGAGGAAAUAAAAUAUUAGUAUGUCAGCAGGCCACAGAUCUAAGCAUGAUACAUUGUAACCACAUUGUAACCAUGGCAGGUAAUGGGUUUAUCCCAGAAUGCCAGGACAGUGGUGUUAGAAAAUGUUUAUCCCUAGAGUGGCCACAUCAACAUAUUAAAGAACUAUAAUGUCUUAGUAGUUUCAAAAUAAUAUUUUAUACAAUUCAACAACCCUUCAUGGCAAUAACUCAAAGUAAACUAAGAACAGAAAGCUCCCUUAACCAGUUGAAAAGCAUCUACGAAAAACCUAUAACAAAUUUGUGCAGGAAUGAAAAGUUAGAAUCUUUGCUUUGAAAUUAAAAACAGGACAACUGCAAUCAAAAUUUCAACAGAGCUUUUCAAGAAAGAUAAAAAGCUUAUUCUCAGAUUCAUACAACAGCAAAGGGCUAGGAAAAA